UACAAAACAUAAAAGCGACAAGCUUAUAUUAAAUUUUUUUAUUUGUAAAAAACUGAAACGAAAAUCCAUGCCAGUAGUUUUGCAAUCCACUCAGUCAGACAGAAAAAAUGAAUGGAUCAGGAUCAAAGAUCAAAACUUGCAGCAGCAGCAUUGGCAAACAGCAAUGGGUUCUCAAGCUGCAACCUUCUAGCUGUUUUCCACCACUUUUCCCAUCUGGGUUGCUUCAAAUUCAUCUCAAACAUCCUUCAGACCCUCAAAUUUCCCUCUCCAAUUUCCAUCCCAAUCCAAGAAAACCAAACCUCCUCAGAUUUCACAGAGCAAGAACAUGGGCAACCCUCGAUGAAAAAAACCCAAGUGUCACAACCCCUCUUGUUGUCCAGGAACCACAGUCUAAAAUAGAAGUUGAGGAGAGUGUGAAAGUGCUAAAGAAUGCUGCAAAAAGGAGAAAGUUGUGGCUGAGGAGAUUAUAUCAGCCAUGUCUGUCAUCGAGAAGGCGAAACUCGACCGCUCGGAGUUUCUUCAAGCACUUGGUGGUUAAGAGUCUCCAGGAAGAACUUGGAUGCUCAUUUUUGCUGCUGAGAAGAAAUUGAAGGGUGGUCGUUACUUCCCUCUUACUGCUGUUCAGAGAUUCGAUGCUGCUAGACAUAAAUGUCUGCCUUUAUCGUCAGACAAAAAAGAAUUGAGAGUAGAGUUCUUGUGCCAGUUGGAUCCUUAAGGUUUGAAGGCAGAUUUUAUUGGAAGGAAAGAAUUUGGAGUUUCAUCUUUGAGUACAUUUCAAUAAAAAUUGGACCUUUUAAUCCUUUAGUGAUUAGUCUUGGUCAGGAAGACCACAAAGAGACAAGCACCAUGGUAUGCUUUCUUUAUUUGGUUUUAUAUUGAUGAGGAAAAAUCAGUUGCUCAAGGCAGAAAUGCCAAAACAACAUUCUGGUUCUAGUUUUUCUGUAUCAGUCGCUACUUGAUUUCUGUUUUAGGUUCUCAGCAAGAUCAUGUUAAUUUGGAAAUGCCUAUGGUUGUUGGUAUGAGAUGCUGCAAUGCAUACAGAGAUUCACUGUUUAGUAGAUUAUAGUUUACUUUGCCAAGGAAUUAUCCCCAUUGAAACGUUUUCUUUGUCCAUUAUUUAUGUAGUUAACUUUGUAUGGUAUUGUUUGGAGUGGUCAUUUAGCUUCAGAUUAGGUUUGGUUGAUGCAUUAGUUUGCAUAUGGUGGAAUGCGAAGUAGACACAACCCAAAACCUGUCAAGGAGACAAUUUACGAAUAAAUGACCCCUAGGACUUGCUACCGCUUGUUAAGGCUAGUGUUUUUCGACUGUUUGAAAUCAAAGAUGGACUGAUGCAGCAGGUUGAGGCUACAUUUGAUACUUUCAAUUUGACAUGUGGGAAUAGGUUUCCUUUCAUGGUGAAGGAGGGUGUCCCUGGUGGGUAAGUCCUAUCUUACUGUUGUGCAUGAUGUUUUCUGCCUAUUCUUUAGAUUUUUUGAUUGAUUAAUGCUUUGAUACUUUUAGCAGUUCAGUCUGUCUUCAAUUUUUUCUCAUCCCUCGUCUUGCACUUGGUUUUGUCGCACCUUUUUUCUGUUUUGAGACUAAUUACGUACACAUAAAUCAAUUGAAAUUCUUGGCCUAAAAAAAAAAAGAAAAAGAAAAGAAAAGUCAAUUGAAAUAAAGAAGCCUAUUUUUGUUGUCAUCAUUUCUAGGAUGGUAUGUAACCCUUUGAUUAUUUUCUAACUGGCAUUUCUUUGUUGAGAGGCCGCACUUGGGAUAAGAACAAUUUUAUUUUCUGGAUGAACCUGCAGAGCCCUUGCUGGCUUGGCUCUGUAGAAUGGGGUUUGAUAAAUUACCUAACCACCUCUUAGCUCUAUCACUCUUUCCUUGCGAGGUCAUUCCCAAGUAAUGAAGCUUAAUCUCCGGUAGUUAGUAAUGCUUUGAUUUAGAACUUGUUUUAUAUAUGGAUCAAGGGUUUUCAUUCUAAAUUGUCCUUUGUGAUCCUUGAGUACAUUGAUGAAUAAAUUGUGCCAAGCAGCUUUACUUAUGCCA